CUAGAGUGCGCCCGUCGUGGUCAAUCCCACGACCGGGCGUCAGAACCCGAUCA
rnacentral:ncRNA from 1 species